rnacentral:rRNA from 1 species
GUUCAUGACUAUACUACCCUGAACAUAUCCCAUCACAUCUGAUCUCAGAAGCUAAGUAGUGUGGCACCUGAUUAGAUCUUGGGUGGGACAAGAACA